GAUUACAUUAAUUUCUCUCUGUAAUCGCGGCUG
rfam:Bacteroides caecimuris strain I48, complete genome.